rnacentral:lncRNA from 1 species
GGAAAUCGGCCAGAGAAUUCUGCAAUCGGUUCCUCACCAAGAAGAAUCAAAUCAUGGACUGUCUGGAGGCCGAAGCAAUAGCCUCUCUUAGGAAAAACAUCCAGGACGAAUGGUUGUCCAGACAGCUCGGCCAGGACAUGCCAAGAACAAUGUUCGCCCUUACUUCCCUCAUGACCCGCUUCUGCGCGGGCGAAGAUAAUUGGCUAGCUCGAUCCAGCCACAAUGUGGACGACCCCGGAAACUCUGAAAUUUGGGACGGAAAUCUCAAGCUAAGAAAAAAC